ACGAACGCUGGCGGCGUGCUUAACACAUGCAAGUCGAGCGGUAAGGCCCUUCGGGGUACACGAGCGGCGAACGGGUGAGUAACACGUGGGUGAUCUGCCUCGCACUUCGGGAUAAGCCUGGGAAACUGGGUCUAAUACCGGAUAUGACCUGCUGUCGCAUGGCGGUGGGUGGAAAGAUUUAUCGGUGCGAGAUGGGCCCGCGGCCUAUCAGCUUGUUGGUGGGGUAAUGGCCUACCAAGGCGACGACGGGUAGCCGGCCUGAGAGGGCGACCGGCCACACUGGGACUGAGACACGGCCCAGACUCCUACGGGAGGCAGCAGUGGGGAAUAUUGCACAAUGGGCGAAAGCCUGAUGCAGCGACGCCGCGUGAGGGAUGACGGCCUUCGGGUUGUAAACCUCUUUCGACAGGGACGAAGCGCAAGUGACGGUACCUGUAGAAGAAGCACCGGCCAACUACGUGCCAGCAGCCGCG
rnacentral:rRNA from 1 species